UACGGGGGGGGCAAGCGUUGUUCGGAAUUACUGGGCGUAAAGGGCGCGUAGGCGGCCUUCUAAGUCGGACGUGAAAUCCCUCGGCUCAACCGAGGAACUGCGUCUGAUACUGGAAGGCUUGAAUCCGGGAGAGGGAUGUGGAAUUCCAGGUGUAGCGGUGAAAUGCGUAGAUAUCUGGAGGAACACCAAUGGCGAAGGCAGCUCGCUGGAACGGUACUGACGCUGAGGCGCGAAAGCGUGGGGAGCGAACAGG
rnacentral:rRNA from 1 species